CUACGUGCCAGCAGCCGCGGUAAUACGGAAGGUCCGGGCGUUAUCCGGAUUUAUUGGGUUUAAAGGGAGCGUAGGCCGGAGAUUAAGUGUGUUGUGAAAUGUAGACGCUCAACGUCUGACUUGCAGCGCAUACUGGUUUCCUUGAGUACGCACAACGUUGGCGGAAUUCGUCGUGUAGCGGUGAAAUGCUUAGAUAUGACGAAGAACUCCGAUUGCGAAGGCAGCUGACGGGAGCGCAACUGACGCUGAAGCUCGAAGGUGCGGGUAUCGAACAGGAUUAGAUACCCUGGUAGUCCGCACAGUAAACGAUGGAUGCCCGCUGUUGGUACCUGGUAUCAGCGGCUAAGCGAAAGCAUUAAGCAUCCCACCUGGGGAGUACGCCGGCAACGGUGAAACUCAAAGGAAUUGACGGGGGCCCGCACAAGCGGAGGAACAUGUGGUUUAAUUCGAUGAUACGCGAGGAACCUUACCCGGGCUUGAAUUGCAGAGGAAGGAUUUAGAGAUA
rnacentral:rRNA from 1 species